rnacentral:rRNA from 1 species
AUUGAACGCUGGCGGCAGGCCUAACACUUGCAAGUCGAGCGGAUGAAGGGAGCUUGCUCCUGGAUUCAGCGGCGGACGGGUGAGUAAUGCCUAGGAAUCUGCCUGGUAGUGGGGGAUAACGUCCGGAAACGGGCGCUAAUACCGCAUACGUCCUGAGGGAGAAAGUGGGGGAUCUUCGGACCUCACGCUAUCAGAUGAGCCUAGGUCGGAUUAGCUAGUUGGUGGGGUAAAGGCCUACCAAGGCGACGAUCCGUAACUGGUCUGAGAGGAUGAUCAGUCACACUGGAACUGAGACACGGUCCAGACUCCUACGGGAGGCAGCAGUGGGGAAUAUUGGGCAAUGGGCGAAAGCCUGAUCCAGCCAUGCCGCGUGUGUGAAGAAGGUCUUCGGAUUGUAAAGCACUUUAAGUUGGGAGGAAGGGCAGUAAGUUAAUACAUUGCUGUUUUGACGUUACCAACAGAAUAAGCACCGGCUAACUUCGUG